UCAAGGACCAGAAUCAGGGCACCUCCACCAUGGCCUGGACCCCUCUCCUCCUCGGAUUCCUGGCUCACUGCACAGGUUCUGUGGCUGCCUAUGUGCUGACUCAGCCUCCCACAAUGUCGGUGAACCUGGGACAGACAGCCAGCAUAACCUGCAGUGGAGACAACAUUGGAAAUACAUAUGUUUCCUGGCACCAACAGAAGCCGGGCCAGGCACCUGUGACAAUUAUCUAUAGUGAUAGCAACCGACCCUCAGGAAUCCCUGACAGGUUCUCUGGCUCCAACUCGGGGAACAUGGCCACCCUGACCAUCAGCGGGGCCCAGGCUGAGGACGAGGCUGAUUAUUACUGUGCAUCAUAUGACAACAGUGCCAUCCUCACUGGAGGCUCACAUG